rfam:Triticum aestivum genome assembly, contig: Triticum_aestivum_CS42_TGACv1_scaffold_224120_3B
UUAAUACUCCCUCCAACCGGAAAUACUUGUCGAAGAAAUAAGUAAAAAUGGAUGUAUUUAGAACUAAAAUAUGUCUAGAUACAUCCAUUUCUCCGACAAGUAUUUCUCGACGGAGGGAGUACUAG